rnacentral:rRNA from 1 species
AGCGAACGCUGGCGGUAGGCCUAACACAUGCAAGUCGAACGGCAGCACACUAAGAGCUUGCUCUUACGGGGGGCGAGACGCGGACGGAAGAGGAGUAUAUCGGACUCUACUUUUUCGUGUAGGAUAACGUAGGGGGACUUACGCCCAUACCGCAUCCGACCUUCGGGUGAAGGCGGUGGAAAUUCUGACCGUGCGCGGAUGAAUGAGCCGCUGUGGGAUUAGAUGGUUGGGGGGGGAAAGGCCCACCAAGGGGACGAUCCGUAGCGGGUCUGGGAGGCGGGUCAGCGACCCUGGAACGGAGACACGGUCAAGACUCCUACGGGAGGCAGCAGUGUGGAACAUUGGACAAUGGGGGCAAGCCUGAUCCAGCCAUACCGCGUGGGUGGAGAAGGCCUUCGGGUUGUAAAGCCCUUUUGUUGGGAAAGAAAAGCAGCAGGUUAAUACCCCGCUGUUCUGACGGUACCCAAAGAAUAAGCACCGGCUAACUUCGUG